CUCAGAAGGUUUUAGGUUUUUUACUCUCUCUCUUUCAUUUCUUCUCGAUCUGCUCUGAAGAAGAGUUUCUGUUCUGAAGAAAUCCAACCAGCUGAAAGCAUCGAUCUAGGUUUUUAGGUCAUCUAUGAGAUUCGGAAGCAUCUAUCUGAUAAUCAGAUAAUAAGGUCAUCUUUUUGUUCUAGUUUUAUGAUUUGGGUCCAAUUUUUUCGAUUUAGGGUUUGUGAGAUUUAGGGUAUCAAAUUAUUUUUGUUUGAUUUCUACAUUUGGGUUUUCUUUCUGGGGUUUCAAAACAGCGAUGAAUUGGGUUUGUUCGAUUUAUAUUUACAUAGUCAAUAUAAAUUACAGUGGAGGAGAAUUUGUUCUUAAGAAUAGAGACAGUACUAAUACAACAUAUUAUGAUGAUAAGGAUCUAGGUGACGCUUCAGAGUUUUAUCAUAGCCAUAAUUGGGCCUUCAGUAGCACUUGUGAUUUCAUGGACAACAACAAUGAGGACAGUUAAACAAUUGAUCGUGCAAAUACAUCACUCUAGAUGACCCAGAGUUAUACUUGACAUCACGAAUAUCUCCUCUCUCUCUCUAACUUAUUAUGGGUUUUGUUUGCUUAAUGGUAAUUACAUAGUCAAACUCCACUUUGUUGAGAUAAUAUUUGAUGCUAAUGACUCGUAUGGAAGUCUUGGGAGGCGUGUAUUUGACUUCUACGUUUAGGUAACUAGCACCAUCAUUUUGAGAAUUUUUAAUCGUUGGACUAACUUAUGAUAUUUUGUAUAUAACUUGAUAGUUAUUGUAGGGAAAACUAGAGUUGAAAGAUUUUAAUAUUGUGAAAGCAGCGGGUGGGGUUCGGUAAGGUACACAUUGAAAUUUUACCUGCAGUUGUGACUAGUAAUACCCUGGAAAUUCAGUGAAUCCAAAAGCACCUUUAGUAGUUCUGUUCAUGGUGGUGCAUCUGCUUCUACAAUUGGUGGCAGUGCUAGAAAUUAAUUCUUACCCCAAAAACAACAACAACAUCACCAACAUCACCAUCAGCAAUAACACAUCAGUACGGUGUCACAACUGCUUGCUGGUGGAAUUGCAGGAGCUAUCAGUAAAACUUGUACUGCUCCUCUUGCUCGCCUCACCAUUCUCUUUCAGGUUCAAGGUAUGCACACAGAUGUUGCGAAUCUAAACAAGGCUAAUAUGGAGGGAGGCGUCACGGAUUGUACCAGAAGAAGGUUUUAGAGCACUCUGGAAAGGGAAUCUUGUUACUAUUGUUCAUUGUCUUCCUUAUUCUUCGAUAAGCUUAGGGAAAAUGGAUGUUGAUGAAAUUGUCCUGUAACUAUUGUUCUUCUAUUGUUUCGGCAGUCGCUGCAGUCAAUUCCUGGAUUAGAGAGGCGUAGGGAAAAUGUUACUUCCGAUCUUUUUGUACGAUUGGUGGGUGGAGGGUUGGCAGGGAUAGUAGCUUGAUCCAUUACUUAUCCACUAGAUCUUGUGAGAACGCGACUUGCGGCACAGGAGCUACAUGUCUGGUAAAGGGAUUAUGACAAAGUGCGGGUUAUUUUCUUCUACUACGGUCUUUGAAUUUUGAUGAUCAGGACCUCAUGGAAAGAAAAUAGGUGUUUUGGUGGACAUUAUAGUUGUUUCCGUAUUUUGUUUUGUGUGCAUUAUUUUGGGUGCUCUUUGGUGGAAGGGUUAUUUGGCGAGAAAAAAAUGAGAUCGAUUAAGGUAAGUCAUUUGUGAGUGUCCAGGGGUAGAAGGUUCUAUGGAAUCACAUCUCCGCGCUUUUGGUGAAAGAAAACGCUGGAACGUUGAAGUUUUAUUACGGAUGUUGACAAAGCUGCUUCCAUUCGUGCACCGAAAGUGAUUGAGACUUGCUCAUUUCCCUCUGCAAUGAGAUCUCUUCUACAUCUUCUGGACAAGGGGAUUCUUCACAAUCUCCUUGUUCGAAUUGUACGCAGGGUAUGUUAUACUUUCCUCUCACUAUUCUUGUUUAUGAAGUACCGAUUAAGUAUGCAUGAAGUCCUUUUAUCAUUGUACUGCCUCCAUGUAUACGUGUUUAUAAGUCAGCCAACAUAAGAAUCUGCCCUGACCUCCACGUAUUGUUUCUUGUUUUUCUCUAAAGAUCAUCUUUAAAUACAUUAUUCAUCUGUGUGCGCCAUUUUAUUCUUUUUUUUUCGUUUUGGCCUUGAAUGUCCUGUAUCAUAGUUUUUGGUAUGGUAUUCACACCAAACCCUUCGAUUGUAGCUACUCCUUUGGAUUAGGUAAACAAUUCUGAACAUGAUACUACUUGCAUGUGCGAUUGUAUGGUAUUGAGGUUGGAUUUUAGGAGUGUAUUAUUGUUCUCUUAUUCUCACACUUGUCUCUCUGAACUAACUGCAUUAUCAAGGCUCCUAGUUAUUCUUACUACAUAUUGUAAGUACACUUCUUUUGCUUAUGCUUAUCAUAUUGAGUUCUGUUGGAUACUAAUCUUUAGUAUAUAAUUUCAUUUGAGGUAAUAUGUUGUUCGUGAUGUUGCUACGGCAUUAUGCAGUUGCUGACCUUUCUCCAGUAAGUCUCUGUUGUGAUCUUCAUUGCUCCCAUGAAGCCAUUGGGUCUGGUGGGUCUUCAUAAUUCAACAAGUUCAUAGUUCUUUCAUAUUUGUGUAAUUGGCAGUUUCAGUAUGUCUAUUAACAAAAAAAUAUGAAGAUAGAUUCAGGAAUCAACAAAAGCUUAUGUCCUGUGCUGUCCGGCUCCCCAUUCUGUACCGACCUGUGAAUUUCCAAUUCCCUUUGUUGUCCUUCAACAUGAUGUAGAUACACUCACAGCAGCAGUAGUUUAUGAAUGUUCAUGAUCAACAACUACUCUGAAACGAAGGUAUUUGGGCUUAAGUCAAAAAGCAGUACUCUGGUGAUAUUUUAGAAGAAGUUGAAUCUCUGCUGAGGAGAUUGGUUAAGCAAGCGGAGUCUGGUGAUACUUCUGGUGAUAUUUAGUAUUUGUUUCCCAGUUUUUCAAUGCCUCUGUCAGUUGACACAAACUAGGUUACCCAUCCAUUUAUAAACAUCAACACAGAUCGAAUAUUGUAUGUCAGUCACAACAUACAUAAGUUUACUUGUGUACAUUUGUAUCAAUUGAAGAAUCAUUUCUUUUAUGAUCAUAUUAUCUAGUGGUGAUUCUCAACUACAUUUGUAUCAGGUUUGUAUUGCCAUUGUAAUUUGUAAAUCUGUGUGGAUGUUGGAUAUGGGGAACUAGGUAAUUGCAGGGGGAAAUGUGGAGGUAAUGAAUUUUGACUAGGUCAAUAAACAUAGACUUGACCCUAGCGCUCUA